rnacentral:rRNA from 1 species
AAGGUACUCCGGGGAUAACAGGCUGAUACCGCCCAAGAGUUCAUAUCGACGGCGGUGUUUGGCACCUCGAUGUCGGCUCAUCACAUCCUGGGGCUGAAGUAGGUCCCAAGGGUAUGGCUGUUCGCCAUUUAAAGUGGUACGCGAGCUGGGUUUAGAACGUCGUGAGACAGUUCGGUCCCUAUCUGCCGUGGGCGCUGGAGAAUUGAGGGGGGCUGCUCCUAGUACGAGAGGACCGGAGUGGACGCAUCACUGGUGUUCGGGUUGUCAUGCCAAUGGCACUGCCCGGUAGCUAAAUGCGGAAGAGAUAAGUGCUGAAAGCAUCUAAGCACGAAACUUGCCCCGAGAUGAGUUCUCCCUGAGACUUUAAGUCUCCUGAAGGAACGUUAAAGACGAUGACGUUGAUAGGCCGGGUGUGUAAGCGCAGCGAUGCGUUGAGCUAACCGGUACUAAUGAACCGUGAGGCUUAACCUUACAACGCCGAAG